UACGAAGGGGGCUAGCGUUGCUCGGAAUCACUGGGCGUAAAGCGCACGUAGGCGGAUUGUUAAGUCAGGGGUGAAAUCCUGGAGCUCAACUCCAGAACUGCCUUUGAUACUGGCGAUCUUGAGUCCGGGAGAGGUGAGUGGAACUGCGAGUGUAGAGGUGAAAUUCGUAGAUAUUCGCAAGAACACCAGUGGCGAAGGCGGCUCACUGGCCCGGUACUGACGCUGAGGUGC
rnacentral:rRNA from 1 species